rnacentral:rRNA from 3 species
UAGGGAAUCUUCCACAAUGGGCGCAAGCCUGAUGGAGCAACACCGCGUGAGUGAAGAAGGGUUUCGGCUCGUAAAGCUCUGUUGUUGGAGAAGAACGUGCGUGAGAGUAACUGUUCACGCAGUGACGGUAUCCAACCAGAAAGUCACGGCUAACUACGUG